rnacentral:rRNA from 1 species
UACAGAGGGGGCAAGCGUUGUUCGGAAUUACUGGGCGUAAAGGGCGCGUAGGCGGCCUUCUAAGUCGAACGUGAAAUCCCCGGGCUCAACCCGGGAACUGCGUCCGAUACUGAAAGGCUUGAAUCCGGGAGAGGGAUGCGGAAUUCCGAGGUGUAGCGGUGAAAUGCGUAGAUAUCUGGAGGAACACCGGUGGCGAAGGCGGCAUCCUGGACCGGCAUUGACGCUGAGGCGCGAAAGCCAGGGGAGCAAAGCGGG